GUCCAUAUGUUCGAACGUCGCGUAUAGGC
rnacentral:sRNA from 1 species